rnacentral:sRNA from 1 species
GUUGCCGCCGCUGCUCUAGCUGCCGUCAGUCAGGCUGCGCCCGCGUCUUCAGGGCCCAGUCCCUCGGACCCAUCGCCGCUUCUAGACCCUACUGCGGUCUCGGAUAUUGCCGGAGACGGGGUUUCACCGUGUUAGCCAGGAUGGUCUCGAUCUCUUGAUCUCGUGAUCCGCCUGCCUUGGCCUCCCAAAGUGCUGGGAUUACAGGCGUGAGCCACUGCACCCGGCCAAAAAAUUUUAAUCUCAUAUAUGAAAGCUAGUCUGCUUAGUAUCUUACAAAGCAGUGAGAGAAAAAGAUGUGCUACUGAGUAAUAAAAUGAUCAAAGGCAAAGAGUACCUACAGUCUUUUAUUUAUAUAAAGUCAAAGAACAAGCAAAAUUAAGUCAAAAAUUGACUGCCAUGAGGCAAGGCAGUUGAUUGGAAAAGAGCAUGGUAAACUUUCUGGAGUGAGAAAUGUUCUAUAUCUUGGGGUGGUUAUAGGGGCGUAUAGAAUUAUCAGAGCUUGUUAAUCUGAACACUUAAGAUCUCUGCAUUUU